CUCUGGAUCGUGAGGAAGGCUCGUUGGGAGAGUGCUAGCCCGAUAACAGACGAGAAGUUACAGAUCAAGAAGGAAUGAAUAUACUCAUCGAAAUCAAAUCAGUCGAAGUGAAAAUAACGAAUCGGGAGAGAGAGAGAGAGAAAGAAAGAGAGAGAGAGAGAGAGAGAGAGAGAGAGAGAAGAUAAAGAAGUACUUUGUGUCGAGUUCUUCGAAAAAAAUAUUUAUAAAA